CUGGUACUCUUCAUCAUAGCCAUCGUAAAGUUGCCCUGGGGAAAGAGGAUCAAAAUCUUGGUGAAGACUCAAAGAAGGACCAAUCAGGUGCCGAUUGGGCAGAUAACCAAUGAUGAUAAGAAUAUUUUAUUUGUGUGUCUUAGUUGUUAUUUAUUUGUUAUUAUUUAGUUCAUUAAAAGCGGAACUGCUCUUUUAAUUCUUCACGACAAUAACUUUAACUGUGCCAAAAUAAUAACUUAGAGAAGAGCGAUAUGAAGCUUUUUAUCGCCAUUGUCUGGUGGAAAACAACAAAAUAGAGUUGGCAGGUGUUUGGUACGGAAGGGAUAAAAGAAACUAUAGCAGCAUGAAGAUAGCAAACUAUAGCAGCAUGCACGCAGCACACAAAUUACGUAAUUUUUGAGGUAAAAAGCAGCAUUUUGAAAAAGUAAACAUUUAAAAAAAAAGUAAACAAUUAGCAUAAAUUGGUCAUUAUUGGUAAAAAAGUGGUUUCAAAAUCCUGUUUUUUUUUUUUUUUUUUUUUUUUUUUAUUUAAUUUAAUUUAUUUUUUUCCAAGUAGUAGGGCUGUAAAAAUUACAGCGUUAACUCGGAUUAAUCCAUCAUCUUCAUUAAUCUGAUUAAAAAAAUUUAGCCCAUCUGCCACAUAAAAUCACACUGGAGGUCUCUGGCAAUGCAUUUGGGGUAGACCCUUAGAGUCAUCAUCAUGCAUACACAAAUAAGCAGUUGAUCUGGUAGUGACAGGCAGCACAUUAAUGUGAAUAAAUGUUUAAAAAAAAAAAAAGACAAAUAGUUAAAUUAUGAUAAGCUAAGAAACACCUGGUGGCUAUUGUAGUGUGUUCUGCCCAUCUGUAUUAUGCAGCAUUGUCCAGUCAUCUUGAUUUCAUUUGUCUGAAUCAUCUCAUAUCCCUACGCUAUCCUUAUAGACCAGUAUGUUAAAGGUAUUGGCCAUAAGACCACGACCCAUGAGCCAUAAUCUAAACCAUAUUGAAUAUUUGGUGAAAGAGCUGAACCAUGCAGUGUGGAGAAGGCACCCUUCAAGCCUGAGACAGCUGGAGCAGGUUACUCAAGAAGAGUGGGCAAAAAUACCUGUCAACAAGUGCAGAAGUCUCAUCGAGAGUUACAGAAAUCGUCUGAGAUUGGAACAAUAUUAAGUUAAAGGUACCAUCAUUUUUGUCCAGGUCAGUUCGAUUUGUUUAGUUUUUGAAAUGAUUCUGUUGAACCACACACAAUGCAAUGUCCGAUUAUCAUUACGUCAUGUUCGGUGAAUUUUCAUUUAUUAUUGCUUUUCUAAGUUUCAAGUUAUUUCACUGACCAUUGUGGGUUUUUUUGUGUUAACAGAAUGAUUUCGUAAACUGUAUAUUUACAAACAUAUGCACGUUGUGAUGCAUUCAUGUGGUGACGGAAAUUCUCCUCUCCCGGUUUGUGAGUCGUUUCCUCGACCUUUUUAUGUUCACGUCUCUAUAAUUUAUGUAUACAUCCAGGGAAAUUAGUAAAAUACUGUGGAUAAGACGUUGACAUCAGUCAGCUGCUACCAAAAUUAUGACAGAAGCGAUCCAUUCUUCAGGGCAUCAACAAACUGCAACUUUAUUUGCAAUGUACGUGAUGAGAGACAUAUGAGAGAGGAAAAAACAGGCUGCAGCUCUCAAAGGGGGAGGUCCCCAGACUUUUGCCAUGUGAAAGGGCACCUCUUUUUAGAGAGCCGGUUCUUUUGGCUCAGCUUACUAAAAAGAGCCGUCUCUUUCGGCUGCCAAGUGGCUCCUCAGAUUUUUUUGUUGAUUUAAUUAAUUCAUUAUCAAAAAUAAUAUCAAAUUAUGUGUAAAAUGACUUGUAUAAAAAACAUGCAUUAUAUUGAAUGUUUAUUAUUUAUAUGGCUUUAUUUCUAAAUUCAAAAUAAACCGGAACAGAGUGCUACAAAAAGUACAAAAUAAAUAUACAAUAAAAAAUUGAAUAUAAAAUAAAAAAACAUCUCAAUCGAACAAAAAGGUCAAUUAUUAUUGACCAAACCAAAACCCAACCAAAAACCCAACCAAAAACCCAACAAAACAAAGUCCAAACUCCUCCCAAUUUGUAAAAAGGCUGAAACUGUAAGGAAGGUCAGCUGACCGAAGACGGCUUUGCAACACUGAGAUUACUGGUAAGUCCCCUUUUUUCGGUUAUAACAAUAUUAAUAAUAAUAAUAAUAAUAUUCAUAGUAUUAUUGUUAUUAUUAUUAUUAUUAUUAUCAUUAUUAUUUUUACAUUAAUUCAAAAAUUAGCCAAAAAACUUUUAAGUUUCUGUAAACCCCUUCCCCUUCUGCUUACCACACAUGUUGGCCAAUCACGUGCGGCUUUAACAGAAAAAAGGAAAAAAAACAAAAAAAAAAAAACAAAAAAAAAAACAAAUCCGUCGUUCAUUUCAAAGAGCCGACUCUUUGAGCUGGAUCGUUCGCCACCGACACAUCACUACUUGAAUGAGUGUCAGUCUAUUCAGAGACAGAGAACAUCAAGUCAGAGCAGAGUAUUUUAAAGUGAGCAAAGUGAAAGAAAGCAAGAAAAACGAGAUCAAUUCACUGAAAAUGGAGUCUACUGAAGGAAAGCGAGCUGUCAUUGAAUAGCAACAGAAAGUGAGUUAAUGAUAUGGUAGAUGUGGUAACGGCUAUUGGCUCUCGCCUACCGUUAACUCGCCGGCUAACGUUUGUGGCCGUUAGUGCUGUUAGCACUUAACUACUGUUAGCUCACCUGCUAGUGCUGUUGCUCCCAAGGCACAAUCCAAGAACUAUGGUGACAUUCUCUUGUAAUGUCACCAAAAGUACAUUUGUUUAUUAGUUUAUUUUUUGUGUAGAACCCCUGUUGCGGUACCGGUGCCAGAGCCGUUUUGUGCCUGUGCCCCGCCGAACACAGAGAUCGGUGAGCAUUAUUGGUCUUAAUGAAUUAUUUUGUUUAAUUUUGCAAUUGAAUUGGUUCAUGAUUGUAUUAUAGAGUGUAGACGUUGAAACGGUUACAAGAAGAUGUGCAAUAUUGCAUAUUGUUAUAUUGCCAUGGUAACUGUUGCCAUGGUAACCGUGAAUGACGAACUGUACUAAGUAACUGAUGAUAUUUCUCUGAUCCUGUCUGUUGACAGGUCAGGUUUUUUGUUUUGUUUUGUUUGUUUGUUUUUGUUCUUUUGGAUUUUGUUUACCUGUUCCUGUAACGUGAAGUGAAGUGAAGCGAUGGCGAGCCACCCACUUGAUCUAGAGUGAAGUGAAUCCUAGAUAUCCCCUCGUCACUGGACAGGUCCUGCUACACUCUCUGGUGUGGUAGGCUCAACAUCUGGAACACCCUCACAUUCAGCCCUCUCACACAAUUCCCCAGACUUACAUUUUCUCCAUCCCUGGAACACUGGACCUGCACUCAUCUUUUGUCUUUUUCUUGGAAAUUGAACCUAUCCUGGGAUUGUAAAUGCAUGGCUGUUGUGUAGGAUAAUUCUCCUCAAGUGAAUUGUGUUGUGAUGCAUUUUAAAUGAUAUUUUGUUUCUUUUAUUUCUUUGGUUUAUUGAAAAUGUUACAUUGGAUUAAAGAAACUAAGAAGUUAAUAGGGUGCACCAAAAUCAGAAUAUUUAGCUUAAUCAGAUAACCAACUGAUAUUAUUGUAAAUAAUAUCUAUUUAAUUAUUAUGUUUUGUCAGACAAUUUUGUUUGUCUUAACUGUUUAUUUACCCAUCUAUUUGUUCAUCUAUUUAUCUGUUUAUUCUGUUCUAAUCAAUUCAUUUUUUAUUUAUUUGUUUUCUAACUAAAGCCGGCAUUACUUUUAUAUUUAAAAUUUUGCCUCCUGGGUGUCAUUCUUACAUUUCACGGUGCUCCAGUAGUCGAACCUAUCCAAUCUACUAAACCACAAAUCUUGGUAUUACGAAAUCCCUCAUAAGUGUUACAGAUAGGUAGUAAGGGGUCAAUGAGUUGCCCCUGUAUCCUCCACCUCCUAACUGUCCUUUUGGAGACGGGCUGUCACUCAACUGCAGAACUCAGGUGACAACAAGACCAGGUUGUGAUCAGAUCGACCCAAUGGGGGCAGGUCAGUGAAACUAUAUGCAUGUUUUGGCAAGUUGACAAAACAGUGCCCUAGGUAUUAUGAUUUAAGUCCCUGGAAAUGAUAACAAGAGCCUACGGGUGUUUGGACUGUUGCCUAGCAACAGUUGUGUGGAUUGCGUCACAUGCUGGUGCCUUGACAGCUGAAGGAGGGAUGUAAACUAAGAUGACAUAGGUGAAUUCCCUCUGUAAAUAAUACAGACACAUUCCCACAGUGUACAGACACGCUCCUUCACAGUUGUAUGAGCAGGAGUGCACUGUCUCUCAUUAACCAAAACAGCAAUCCUGCUGCCCUUCUUCUUACCGCUCAAGGGCGCAUCUCUAUCUGCCCAUACAGACUUAAAGCCAGGUAUUGAAGCCAGGGAAGUCCACAUGCAGUCGGGUUUCCAUAAAACACAAAAUACUACUGACUGUAUAUUCCCUCCGGGUUCUUAAAAGCGCACAUGGUUCAUCCAUCUUAUUAGUGAGAGACCUCACGUUCUUCAAUAAGGACAGAUGGCACUCCUGGUUUGAAUUUACUUGUCGACUUGUCAACACCAAAACCAAGCAACGGGGAAUACCAAUUCACAAGUGAGAAGAUGAUUUAUAUUAUUUAACUGUUAAUAAUGUGUUGAAUGUAUCUCUAAAGCUUACGUAAAUUAACUGCAUCUUGUUACUAGCUUAUGUAAGGAUAAGAAAGCAAAAUGUUUUUGUUAGUAAGACAGCAGUAAUAUGAUAAAAGUGACAUUUAGAAAUCAGCCACUGUAUGUAAUUGUACUAAUUAGGAAAUGUUGUUCCUAAACCAUCUAUCAGUUUCAUAUAUAACAUCAAUGUUAACUGUUAACGUAAGUUUUGUGUCUGGACUGUAGCUACAUAAACAGAACCCAGUGUUGGUCAGAUGGAGUUGUUUUGUCCUUAAAAUGUAAAGUGCGUUAUAAAUAAAAUAUAUUAUUAUUAUAUAUGAUAUAUGUCCCUCCUCAGCGGACAAGGAAACACCAUGCAAUGACAUGAUCCCCGCUAAUCUUUUUUUGUUUGAAUUUUCUUGUGCUAUUUUUCAGAGUGUUUUAUGUGCGACGAAGCUAUGGUGACAAAGUAAUUUCCCUUGUGGAUCAUUAAAGUCUGUCUAAGUGUUAUUUAACAUAUACUCUUCUUGUAACUGUAUCUUGUUUUAUUUUGAUAAUUAUAUCAUAAACUCUAUUGUAUUAUUAUUAAAUAUAUCAACUAAUCUA